rnacentral:rRNA from 1 species
AUACGGAGGAUGCGAGCGUUAUCCGGAUUUAUUGGGUUUAAAGGGUGCGCAGGCGGCCAUUUAAGUCAGCGGUUAAAUCGUGGGGCUCAACCCCAUUCUGCCGUUGAUACUGGGUGGCUUGAUUGCGGUCGAGGUUUGCGGAAUUCGUUGUGUAGCGGUGAAAUGCAUAGAUAUGACGAAGAACACCGAUUGCGUAGGCAGCUGACCAGACCGCAAAUGACGCUCAUGCACGAAAGUGCGGGGAUCGAACAGGAUUAGAUACCCUGGUAGUCCGCACAGUAAACGAUGAAUACUUGUUUUCGGCGAUAUAAUGUCGGAGGCAAAGCGAAAGCGAUAAGUAUUCCACCUGGGGAGUACGCCGGCAACGGUGAAACUCAAAGGAAUUGACGGGG